rnacentral:tRNA from 4 species
GCGCCCUUAGCUCAGCUGGAUAGAGCAACGGCCUUCUAAGCCGUGGGUCGCAGGUUCAAAUCCUGCAGGGCGUGCCA